rnacentral:rRNA from 1 species
GAUGAACGCUGGCGGCGUGCCUAAUACAUGCAAGUCGAGCGAACAGACGAGGAGCUUGCUCCUCUGACGUUAGCGGCGGACGGGUGAGUAACACGUGGAUAACCUACCUAUAAGACUGGGAUAACUUCGGGAAACCGGAGCUAAUACCGGAUAAUAUAUUCAACCGCAUGGUUCAAUAGUGAAAGACGGUUUUGCUGUCACUUAUAGAUGGAUCCGCGCCGCAUUAGCUAGUUGGUAAGGUAACGGCUUACCAAGGCGACGAUGCGUAGCCGACCUGAGAGGGUGAUCGGCCACACUGGAACUGAGACACGGUCCAGACUCCUACGGGAGGCAGCAGUAGGGAAUCUUCCGCAAUGGGCGAAAGCUUGACGGAGCAACGCCGCGUGAGUGAUGAAGGUCUUCGGAUCGUAAAACUCUGUUAUUAGGGAAGAACAAAUGUGUAAGUAACUAUGCACGUCUUGACGGUACCUAAUCAGAAAGCCACGGCUAACUACGUG